rfam:Aspergillus lentulus DNA, contig: Alt02, strain: IFM 54703.
GAAAUUAUUAUGGAUAAUUAGCUAUAUAUUAAAGAAUAUCUAGUCAAUCUAGUUUCUAAGAGAAAUCAGAUAAUAAACGAAGUGAAUUGAAAUAUCUUAGUAACUUUAGGAAAAGAAAUCAAACGAGAUUGUUAUUUGGUGUCAACUAAAUAACAAAAGCCUAAUAACAAAACUUGUUAAAAGUAAAAUGGAUUAAAAUCUGUUUGAAUAUAGGGGAACCUUCCUCUAAGGCUAAAAAUGAUAUAUAAGCGAUAGUGAAAAGUACCGUGAGGUAAAAUUUGAAAUAGUAAUUUUAUAAGCAGCUCGAGUGAAAUUUAAAUAAAAAAUAAGAGCGUACCUUUUGCAUAAUGGGUCAGCAAGUUAAUUUUAGAUGCAAGCUAUGAUUUUAUGUGGUUUUCGCAUAAAACUAGCUUAGAUAAACCAAUUAUGAAAAAAUGAAUAAGUAUCUAGAAUUAGACCCGAAGGCUAGUGAUCUUACCAUGGUCAGGGUUAUAAAAGCCCGAACGGGUUAUCGUUGUAUAGAUAUCCGAAGAAUUGUGGUAAGUUAGUGAAAGACAAAACUGACUAGUAUAGCUGGUUUUCCGCGAAACCUAUAUGAGUAGGUAAUUUAAUUAACAUCUUAGCAGGUACAGAACUGUGAUCUCGGACAAUAUCUUUUGAUUUUGUCAACAUCGGGGGGUUGUAGUGACUUUACCGGAGAGUAUUUGCACUCGGAAUGGCAAAGAUGAAUGUUGAAUAAUCGGACAUAGUGCGAUAAGGUUGUAUGUCUAAAGGGAAACAGCCCAGAACAAGAGUUAAGGUUCCAAAAUUAUUGUUGAGUGAAAUUAAGGAUGUUUUUUUUUAAUACAAUCAGGAAAUAGGCUUAGAAGCGGCCAUUUUUUGAAGACCUCGUAACAGAGCACUGAUUAAUUUUUUAGAAAAAAACACCGAAAAUUUAACGGAUCUAAACAAUAUACCGAAACCUUGUACACAUUAAUAUAAUAAUAAUAUUGUAUAUGUGGGGUAGCGGAACAUUGGAUAAAUAUUAAUUAUUAUUUCUUAUUUAAGAAAUAAUAAAUAUGGAUUAUUAAUAAACUAAAUAAAAUUAAAUUAAUCCAUUAAUAUAAUCCAAGAGAGAAUGCUGACAUGAGUAACGAAAAAGGAAUAUCCUCGCCUUAAGCUUAUGGUAUUUUAUUUAAUUUUCGGUAUCUAAAUAUAUUAAUCAAAAGGUAAUUUUGAUGAUAUUUUUAUAAAAAAUACUUAAUAGUAAAAAACAAAACCUUUAAUAAGUAAUAAAGGUUCUGGAAAAUUUUUUACUUAAAUAAAAUAUAUAUAAACUAAUAGUCUUAUGAAUAAAACUCAAUAUGUUAUAUUGUAUUUACUAUCUAAUUUCUUGUUACAAGUUUUCAAGAUUACAUAGUUUAAAUAGAAUGUAAUAGAGUUUUAUAAAAAAAAAGAUAUAUUUUAUUUUUAUAUUUUACAUUAUUGUAUAUAUUAAGACUAUUAUACAGAUAUAUAAUGUAAAUAUAAUAAGGUUUUUCUAUAUACCGUACCUAGAUACUAUCACAAGUAAGCAAGUAGAGAAUACAAAGGCGUUUGAGUGAACAAUCAUUAAGGAACUCGGCAAAUUGACUACCGUAACUUCGGGAUAAGGAGGGCCAUUAUCAUUAGUUUAACAUACCUUACAGGUAUGAUUUAAUUAAAUUAAGGAUAAGAGGAAACAUAAAAUAAUGUUGUACGACUGUUUAAUAAAAACACAGCACUCUGCAAAGAUAAAAUAUCAAAGUAUUGAGUGUGAUGUCUGCCCAAUGUCGGCUGGAUAACGGAUUUACCUUGGUUUUUAACUGAGGUUUUGAAGGAUACCCCGAUUAAUGGCGGCCUUACCUAUGAGGGUCCUAAGGUAGCGAAAUACCUUGGCCGUUAAAUGCGGUCCUGCAUGAAUGACUUAACGAUACAACAGCUGUCUCGAUGAUUGUCUCAGUGAAAUUG